rnacentral:rRNA from 1 species
ACUGCUCAGUAACACGUGGACAACCUGCCCUUAGGUUGGGUAUAAACCCGGGAAACUGGGUAUAAUACCCGAUAGGUCUCGAUUGCUGGAAUGCAUCGAGAUUUAAAGCUCCGGCGCCUAAGGAUGGGUCUGCGGCCUAUCAGGUGGUAGUGGGUGUAGCGUACCUACUAGCCUACGACGGGUACGGGUUGUGAGAGCAAGAGCCCGGAGAUGGAUUCUGAGACACGAAUCCAGGCCCUACGGGGUGCAGCAGGCGCGAAAACUUUACAAUGCUGGCAACAGCGAUAAGGGAACCUCGAGUGCCAGGUUACAAAUCUGGCUGUCGAGAUGCCUAAAAAGCAUUUCAUAGCAAGGGCCGGGCAAGACCGGUGCCAGCCGCCGCGGUAACACCGGCGGCUCGAGUGGUAACCGUUAUUAUUGGGUCUAAAGGGUCUGUAGCCGGCCGGAUAAGUCUCUUGAGAAAUCUGGCAGCUUAACUGUCAGGCUUUCAGGAGAUACUGUCUGGCUCGAGGCCGGGAGAGGUGAGAGGUAUUUCAGGGGUAGGGGUGAAAUCUUGUAAUCCUUGAAGGACCACCAGUGGCGAAGGCGUCUCACCAGAACGGACCUGACGGCAAGGGACGAAAGCUAGGGGCACGAACCGGAUUAGAUACCCGGGUAGUCCUAGCCGUAAACGAUACUCGCUAGGUGUCGGCCACGGUGCGACCGUUGUCGGUGCCGUAGGGAAGCCGUGAAGCGAGCCACCUGGGAAGUACGGCCGCAAGGCUGAAACUUAAAGGAAUUGGCGGGGGAGCACCACAACGGGUGGAGCUUGCGGUUUAAUUGGAUUCAACGCCGGAAAUCUUACCGGGACCGACAGCAAUAUGAAGGCCAGGCUGAAGACUUUGCCGGAUUAGCUGAGAGGUGGUGCAUGGCCGUCGUCAGUUCGUACUGUGAAGCAUCCUGUUAAGUCAGGCAACGAGCGAGACCCGUACC